UACGGGGGGAGCAAGCGUUGUUCGGAUUUACUGGGCGUAAAGGGCGGGUAGGCGGCCACCGCAAUUCAGUUGUGAAAUCUCCGGGCUUAACCCGGAAAGGUCAACUGAUACUGCGGGGCUAGAGUGCAGAAGGGGCAACUGGAAUUCUCGGUGUAGCGGUGAAAUGCGUAGAUAUCGUUUGGAACGCCAAUGGUGAAAACAGACAGCUGGGAGUGUGCUGACGCUGAGACACGAAAGCCAGGGGAGCGAACGGG
rnacentral:rRNA from 1 species